UACAGAGGUCUCAAGCGUUGUUCGGAUUCAUUGGGCGUAAAGGGUGUGUAGGUGGCGCCGUAAGUCGGGUGUGAAAUUUCGGAGCUUAACUCCGAAACUGCAUUCGAUACUGCGGUGCUUGAGGACUGGAGAGGAGACUGGAAUUCAUGGUGUAGCAGUGAAAUGCGUAGAGAUCAUGAGGAAGACCAGUGGCGAAGGCGGGGUCUCUGGACAAGUUCCUGACACUGAGAGCACGAAGGCCAGGGGGAGCAAAACAGGAU
rnacentral:rRNA from 1 species